GUGUGUGUGUGUGUGUACCAGUGUGUCCUGGAAGGGUGGGUGCGUGCUGGCACAGAUGUCAUCUUUUGAAGGCUUCGGUGGAGAAUGAGUCAGAGACCCACCCUGACUAUCUAGGAGUCUCUGGGCCCCUGACCCCCACUUCCCAACUUGCCAGCCCAUGGGGCCUGGGGACUUGCCUGUGCUUAGAGCACAGUCUCCUUAACCACUGCCAAAGGCUUGCUGCUCCACCCUCCUAGACCUGGCUCUUGGCCCACAGUUGCUAUUUCACAUCCGUGGUUAAUGUGUGAUAGCGGGAAGAGCUGAGCCAUAGUUGGCCUCACCCCUUAUGGUGGGCCUUCAGACAUCUGCUCAGCACCAGGAUCUGAAGGAGCCUUUGUGGAACAAAGCCCAAGUUAUGGAGAACUCAGGCCUUUUGCGAAUCCCCAUCCUGUUCUAUGGUUCCUGGAUUUUCAGCUCUGCAACCAGAGAUGGGGUGGAACCAUCUCCUAUCCAGACCCCCUAUCCAGAACUUGGAGUGAGACGGCCUGAUGCCCACACUGCUGGACCAUGGGGGAGGCGGGCCUAGAGCACCGACCUCAUCUCCAGAAUACCCAAUACCCCCAGGAAAAGCCCAGCUGGAAGAGGUCAUGGCUCCUGCAGCCCUUACAAGCCUAUCUACCAGCCCCCCUUUAUCUGGGGGCCCCAGCUGCAACCUUCAGCCCAGGUGAGACUCAAACUUAUGUUCAAGUAUGGGCAGGGUCCAGAACUUCUGUCAUUCCACAAUACUGAAACCACCAAGCCUCUAUGGGGCAAGCAGUGUCCCAUACCUAACACGUCACCUUCUAAGCUUGCCUCAAGGUCUCUUAAGAAACCCCUCACCGAGGCCAAAACUCUACCUCCACUUUGCCAUGUUGCUUCCUGGCCAUGCCAAGCACCCCUACCUUUCCUUUCCUGUUAGGGGAGCUUCUCUCCCAGUCUGAGGUCAAAUUCUCUUAGUUGUCUAUCCCUACCCCACAAGGCUCACCUGAACAGGUGGCAACUCACAAUCAGGGACUUGGAGAGAGCCAGCAGGCAGCAGCUUCUGCAAAGCAGCUUAAGCCUUCCAAGCUCCCGAGAGGCGUGUCCCUGCAGAGUCUGGCUUGGAGCUCUGGAAGGAAGCCUUUGGUCAUCAUCUUUCAGGCUGCUAGAGCAGCAGCAGCAACCGUGGAGAUGGGCUGGGACCUGGUCAGCCAUCAGUCAUCUCCAUCAUCCCUGCAGCAACUCACUUUUUGUUGUAGGGAGGAGGCCACCCUACAAAAAAGGAAGUGCCUGUGGAAGAGCUGUGGGAAGGUGCUGAGCACAGCGCUGGAGAUGCAGAGACACGCCCACCUGGUGCACCUGGGGUGCAGUGGGACUGAGGGCUUGGCCAGGGUGGAGUCAGGCCUGGCCAGAACUUAAGCUCUCACCUCUCUGUUCUUGGCAGGAGACAGGCAGAGCCAGAGAAGAGUGAUCGGGAGGACUUUUACAACACAGAGCUGGAUGUUGAUGUGGACAUGGUGACUGACAGGUUGUCCAGCCCUGUGUCUCCUACAGCUUCCAUGCCAGUCACCCACCGCUCCUCAUGUGGGGCUCCCAGAGCUGCUGGAGCCCCCAGUUCUUCUCAACCUGCUACAGUCCCUAACUUUGUUUCCACCUCCCAUGCUCAGCUCUACAGCUAGCUAUCCCACAGGUAUGCAUGCCACAGUGGCCAAGCCUCCACAUGUGGAGAUUGGGGGCAGGUCUCAGAGCACUCUAGAGAGAAACAGCAUAGGGCUGUGGCUCCUUCCAGAGCUGCCUGGCCCCCAUCCACCUGGAGCCACAGCCCCGCCCUGCCUGCCAAGCUUGGGGUCAACCUGAGGUAUGUGCAGGUCGAGGGACUCUCCAUGCUCCCUGCACGUCCCCUCCAGGAAGCCCCAGGGUGAUGCCAAGAAGAGCUGGCAAGUGUACGGCAUGGACCAUGGGGAACUGUAGCACAACGCCUGCUGCAGGACAAAAGCCUGCCAGCAGUUUCCGGCCUGAGCCCAUCCAUGCUGCUGCUGCUGGCUGCUCUCUCACACCCAGCCUGAAACUACAGCAAACCUGGACUCCUAGAGGUGGAUGAAUAGCUGACCACUGAAAAUGCCUUGGAGGGAAGCAGCCUUUUGCACUAAAGCCAAACUGCAUGUUGUCCUUUUGGCCCCCGGGGCAGCUUGCCUCCCUGCCCACCACUCAGACUUGUCAAAGAUGUCAGUGGGCUCUGUUAGAGCCUGUGUCAGUUGUUCACCUCUAGAGGGGUGUCAGAGAGAGUACUGUCCAGGUCCCCCUGGGGCUGACAUUUUAUCAUGUUAAUGAAGCUCUGGUGUUUUGUGUCUGGGAGAAAAAUAUUAAACUGUGGGGCUUGUUUGCUUGUU